rnacentral:rRNA from 1 species
UACGUAGGGAGCAAGCGUUGUCCGGAAUCAUUGGGCGUAAAGCGCGCGUAGGCGGCCUCAUAAGUCCGUUGUGAAAGUCAAAGGCUCAACCUUUGAACGCCGAUGGAUACUGUGAGGCUAGAGUCCGGAAGAGGCGAGUGGAAUUCCUGGUGUAGCGGUGGAAUGCGCAGAUAUCAGGAGGAACACCAAUAGCGAAGGCAGCUCGCUGGGACGGUACUGACGCUAAGGCGCGAAAGCUAGGGUAGCAAACGGG